rnacentral:lncRNA from 1 species
UGAUGGAGGUUAAAGUUUGAUUAUGUGAUUUUGGUGAUUUGGUGGAGAUGAAGGCUUGUUUAAGGUUGAAAGUUGGUUGAAGAAUGGUGAAGAACUUUAUGAUUUUUUUGGUGGAUUAUGAAGUUGUGAAUUUUUUUAGUGAGUUUGUAAAGUGUGAUUCUUUUGGUCAAUAGUGAUUAACCUCUCAUGAUGGUGAUGAGUGAUGUUUAAG